GAGUCAACCUGCGGAAGGAUCAUUAACACGUAUCCAAACGUUAAACAACCCCGUGAACAUACCUGCUCUGCACCCGCUCGCAUGGACAAGCCCAGUAAAUCAAGCCCCGGAAAGUUUUUGAUUUGGGACCUCUGUGCGCGUGAGAAAAACUGACAGCGAUUCAUAGAAGCGGUAGGUCAAGAGUGACAAGGAGCGUCAAGGACGACUGCUAGAGGUCGACCACCGACCGGCUUCCGUGUAUACUGAGCUUAACAUCGCUCCCUUCCGAACCCCACUUUAUUGCCUUGCCUGUAAGCAUCCAUACGGAUGGGCAGGCCCCCCGAACAACUGUUAACAAUGGAUAUCUUGGUUCUC
rnacentral:misc_RNA from 1 species